rnacentral:rRNA from 1 species
AGCGGCGGAUGGGUGAGUAACACGUGGGGAACCUGCCCCUAAGUCUGGGAUACCAUUUGGAAACAGGUGCUAAUACCGGAUAAUAAAGCAGAUCGCAUGAUCAGCUUUUGAAAGGCGGCGUAAGCUGUCGCUAAGGGAUGGCCCCGCGGUGCAUUAGCUAGUUGGUAAGGUAACGGCUUACCAAGGCGACGAUGCAUAGCCGAGUUGAGAGACUGAUCGGCCACAUUGGGACUGAGACACGGCCCAAACUCCUACGGGAGGCAGCAGUAGGGAAUCUUCCACAAUGGACGCAAGUCUGAUGGAGCAACGCCGCGUGAGUGAAGAAGGUUUUCGGAUCGUAAAGCUCUGUUGUGGGUGAAGAAGGAUAGAGGUAGUAACCGGCCUUUAUUUGACGGUAAUCAACCAGAAAGUCACGGCUAACUACGUGCCAGCAGCCGCGGUAAUACGUAGGUGGCAAGCGUUGUCCGGAUUUAUUGGGCGUAAAGCGAGCGCAGGCGGAAAAAUAAGUCUAAUGUGAAAGCCCUCGGCUUAACCGAGGAACUGCAUCGGAAACUGUUUUUCUUGAGUGCAGAAGAGGAGAGUGGAACUCCAUGUGUAGCGGUGGAAUGCGUAGAUAUAUGGAAGAACACCAGUGGCGAAAGGCGGCUCUCUGGUCUGCAACUGACGCUGAGGCUCGAAAGCAUGGGUAGCGAACAGGAUUAGAUACCCUGGUAGUCCAUGCCGUAACGAUGAGUGCUAAGUGU